rnacentral:rRNA from 1 species
AGCGAACGCUGGCGGCAGGCCUAACACAUGCAAGUCGAACGGACCCUUCGGGGUUAGUGGCGGACGGGUGAGUAACACGUGGGAACGUGCCUUUAGGUUCGGAAUAGCUCCUGGAAACGGGUGGUAAUGCCGAAUGUGCCCUUCGGGGGAAAGAUUUAUCGCCUUUAGAGCGGCCCGCGUCUGAUUAGCUAGUUGGUGAGGUAAAGGCUCACCAAGGCGACGAUCAGUAGCUGGUCUGAGAGGAUGACCAGCCACAUUGGGACUGAGACACGGCCCAAACUCCUACGGGAGGCAGCAGUGGGGAAUCUUGCGCAAUGGGCGAAAGCCUGACGCAGCCAUACCGCGUGAAUGAUGAAGGUCUUAGGAUUGUAAAAUUCUUUCACCGGGGACGAUAAUGACGGUACCCGGAGAAGAGGCCCCGGCUAACUUCGUGCCAGCAGCCGCCGUAAGAC